GCGUCCGUCCGUCUGUCUGCAAACACUACUCCUCCUUAAAUUUUAGUCUGAUUUCAAUAUAACUUGGCACACAAGUAGACUAUACUAAGAUACAUAAUUCUGUGCAUCAGUUUUUGAUAAGUACAAACCAGUAGAGCUACAAUCUCGACAGAGACUUCUGGUUAUUUUUUCUUCCAUCCCGGUUGUUGCUAAUGCUAUUACAUAAUUAGUUUAAAUUAGAAUGCAAUAGUACCUGGACAUAAUUUAUCAUUUCAGAGAGAAGAAAACUGUGUGACUUUAAAAGAAAACCAGUGAGAUAAAAUCAUAGAAAAUGUAUGAUGAUUCAGGAUGUGGUCAUUUGUGACAUUAAAACAGGAAUUGUCAUCACCAAUAGACGAAUUUCACAUUCCUAAGAGUUUUCUCCAAUUGUUGGCGUAUCGCUCAUUUUUCCCACUUUGUCCUUUGUCCUGUUCUGUGGAUGCCCUAAGACAGUGUCUACCCAUCACUCCAUCUGAUAUCACUUGUUCUGAGCAUA